rnacentral:tRNA from 1 species
UCUGCCUUCGUCUAACAGGCAGGACAGCGCACUUUGACUGCGCCAAUCUUGGUUCGACUCCAAGAGGCAGAGCCA